GAAGGCUGUAGUUGCAACUGUCAAAGGUAGUGGAAACGCGCAUAAACCAACUUACUAUAUUACUGUACACGGCAGAGAAGAUAAUACCCGUAUAAAAACCCCGAGAGGGGGCUAAGGACCGACGGUGACGACUGUCAGUCCGCCUGCACCGACGCUCAACACUGCAGGUGUGAUUGCCAUGUAAGACCGGGAAAGGCGCAGCCCUACGGCCUGACCCGUACGUGGGUGACCCGGGCCACCCAUCCGGACUCCGACAUUCCAGCAUGGAGAUCCCCAGUAUCCCACGGCUGGCAAAGCUGUCAUCAAGGGGUCGUCCUCCAAAACAGGCCCACCCCCAGGAGACUGCCAGGACCACAGCUACAGCCCCUGGGAACAACAAACACAGUAAGUGACCUCUGAUCACAA